AAUCAACGCUGGCGGCGUGCCUCAGACAUGCAAGUCGAACGCGAAACCUUCCUUCGGGAGGGAGUAGAGUGGCGCACGGGUGAGUAACACGUAGGUAAUCUACCUUUGGGUGGGGAAUAACAGCCGGAAACGGCUGCUAAUACCGCAUAAUGCAGCGGCUCGACAUCGAGACAGUUGUUAAAGCGGGGAUCGUAAGACCUCGCGCCUAAAGAGGAGCCUGCGGCAGAUUAGCUAGUUGGUAAGGUAAUGGCUUACCAAGGCUACGAUCUGUAACGGUCUAAGAGGACGGUCGGUCACACUGACACUGAAUAACGGGUCAGACUACCUACGGGAGGCAGCAGUCAGGAAUUUUGGCAAUGGGCGAAAGCUGACCCAGCAACGCCGCGUGAAGG
rnacentral:rRNA from 1 species